GACGAACGCUGGCGGCGUGCUUAACACAUGCAAGUCGAACGGAAAGGCCCUGCUUUUGUGGGGUGCUCGAGUGGCGAACGGGUGAGUAACACGUGAGUAACCUGCCCUUGACUUUGGGAUAACUUCAGGAAACUGGGGCUAAUACCGGAUAGGAGCUCCUGCUGCAUGGUGGGGGUGGGAAAGUUUCGGCGGUUGGGGAUGGACUCGCGGCUUAUCAGCUUGUUGGUGGGGUAGUGGCUUACCAAGGCUUUGACGGGUAGCCGGCCUGAGAGGGUGACCGGCCACAUUGGGACUGAGAUACGGCCCAGACUCCUACGGGAGGCAGCAGUGGGGAAUAUUGCACAAUGGGCGGAAGCCUGAUGCAGCAACGCCGCGUGCGGGAUGACGGCCUUCGGGUUGUAAACCGCUUUCGCCUGUGACGAAGCGUGAGUGACGGUAAUGGGUAAAGAAGCACCGGCUAACCACGUG
rnacentral:rRNA from 1 species